rnacentral:rRNA from 1 species
UUCGUAGGUGAACCUGCGGGAAGGAUCAUUA